GAAUUACAGGUAGAUUCUUUACCGUCUGAGCCAGCAGCUGCUGUUGCUGCUGCUAAGUCGUUUCAGUCAUGUCCGACUCUGUGCCACCCCAUAGACGGCAGCCCACCAGGUUCCCCCAAAGCCCCCUAUUUGGGUAGAAAUGACGAACACAUUGGGAGCCAUGCCUCCCGCCUCUUUAUACUACAUUGUGGCUUUUCCAUGUGUCCAGUGACAUCUUAGGUUGUGAUAUUUUAGUAAAAUUUUUAUUGAGAAAGUUAAGAUUUAUUCAGUACAGUAACCACUUUCCAGAGAAAUAAUACAGUCAGGUUCUUCUAAAAGAAUCUCUGUGCUUCUCAGUGAUUUUUUAGAAGGACCUGAUCUUUAAGUUAACAACACAGAAAAUAAGCGAGGGUAGUAGAGCUUCUUUAUUUCCUUCAUCAGGAUUCCUGCUUCUGAAGGAAACUGGUUAUCCUUUAUAUUCUGAUGUUCAUUGCAACUAUACCUGUUUUGUUUCACCAGUCUAUCUACUAAGUUAAGGAAUUAUACUCCACUUAUCUCUUCCAAAGUGGAACUUUAUCUUAAAUCUGCCCACUUUGGGAUGGGCAUAGGUAGGUAUCUCCCCCCUGGCUGUAACAAUUUCCUAACAAUUCUCAGUUAUAAAGAAUUUUCCUCAAUUUUAUAUAACUUACAUUUUUAGCUAGUGAUAAAAAUAUGUUGCUUCUAAUUCAGUUUCACUGAUGACUAUCAAUAAUUGCUUGACAGCUUCUUCCUAAACCUCCAACCCCAGCCUGUUAAGCAACAUUGUCAGGAAUUUAAAUUCAGUGGAAAGAGUAAAAUCAUAAUGCUAAACUGGUGACUUCACAAUCCUUUCCUUGGCAAAAGAUUAAUAUCACAAGCACAGAAGAAAAGAGCCCUACUUACACACAAGUGUCUUCAAUAACGGUGGGAGAAAACAGGAUACUACUGGCAAAGUCAAUUGCUUUUCUUCUUAAAACUCUUUUCUCCUUCCCAUCCUGCCCCAUGCACCCAAGUGUAAAAGCCCGGCUUUGAAACCACUUCAUCUUGUAGAUCAAACACUUAAGAGAAAAUGACAACAAUAAAGCCUAAAACAUCCUAGGAAUAGCUGGGAGAAAACCCUC